CAGCCGCCGCGGUAAUACCGGCGGCCCGAGUGGCGGCCACUAUUAUUGGGCUUAAAGCGUCCGUAGCCGGGUUGGGAAGUCCUCCGGGAAAUCUGGCCGCUUAACGGUCAGAAUGCCGGAGGAUACUCCCAGCCUAGGGAGCGGGAGAGGCCGAGGGUAUUCCCGGGGUAGGGGUGAAAUCCUAUAAUCCCGGGAGGACCACCUGUGGCGAAGGCGCUCGGCUGGAACGCGUCCGACGGUGAGGGACGAAGGCCAGGGGAGCAAACCGGAUUAGAUACCCGGGUAGUCCUGGCUGUAAACGAUGCGGACUUUGUGUCGGACAAGCUAUGAGCUUGUCCGGUGCCGGAGGGAAACCGUUAAGUCCGCCGCCUGGGGAGUACGGCCGCAAGGCUGAAACUUAAAGGAAUUGGCGGG
rnacentral:rRNA from 1 species